rnacentral:rRNA from 1 species
AUUGAACGCUGGCGGCAGGCCUAACACAUGCAAGUCGAGCGGAUGAAGGGAGCUUGCUCCUGGAUUCAGCGGCGGACGGGCGAGUAAUGCCUAGGAAUCUGCCUGGCAGCUGGGGCUAACGUCCGGAAACGGGCGCUAAUACCGCAUACGUCCUGAGGGAGAAAGUGGGGGAUCUUCGGACCUCACGCUAUCAGAUGAGCCUAGGUCGGAUUAGCUAGUUGGUGGGGUAAAGGCCUACCAAGGCGACGAUCCGUAACUGGUCUGAGAGGAUGAUCAGUCACACUGGAACUGAGACACGGUCCAGACUCCUACGGGAGGCAGCAGUGGGGAAUAUUGGACAAUGGGCGAAAGCCUGAUCCAGCCAUGCCGCGUGUGUGAAGAAGGUCUUCGGAUUGUAAAGCACUUUAAGUUGGGAGGAAGAGCAGUAAGUUAAUACCUUGCUGUUUUGACGUUACCAACAGAAUAAGCACCGGCUAACUUCGUG